rnacentral:misc_RNA from 1 species
AACGCACAUUGCGCUCUCUGGUAUUCCGGGGAGCAUGCCUGUUUGAGUAUCAGUUAACUAUUCUCAAGCUACACCUUUUUUUAUAAAAAAGGGGGGUGCAGCAUGGAAUUGAGUGAUCCCGGUACGAGUGCUUCGGUACUGCAACUGGGAGACUUGAAACUGAUAUCGCGGGAGCAGUGGUCAUUAAGGAUCAGCUCUUUGUAGGUGUACUAGUUGGAGGCGUCGCAAGACGUUUUCAUUCUUAACACCACCAUUUGCGCAAAGUUCAGAUCUGACGACUGCGACCAACGAACGCAGGAACGCGAGUCCCUAGGACUUCAACUUCUUGAUCUCAAAUCAGGUAGGAUUACCCGCUGAACUUAA